rnacentral:lncRNA from 1 species
GGAAUGUUCUGACUAUAGCUGUUAAAUCUGUCUAGUCUAGGGUGUCAUUCAAAGCCAUUGUUUCUUUGUCGAUUUUCUCUUUAGAUGAUCUGCUCAUUGAGUGUCUCCCCGCCUGGUCUCCCUGGGGAGACUUCCAGUUGCCGUUACUUCAAGCUGACCGAUGAUCCUUUCUACUUGAGAUUUGCAUGGGUUUGUCUACCUUGGAUUCGGCUGCCUCUGCCUUUGGCCUGGCAUGGAGCCCAACUCAGCACCUUGAGAUCAAGACCUGGGCUGAGAUCAAGAGUCGAAUGCUUAACCAACUGGUCCACUCUUUUCUCAAGUCUAAAUCCAUUCAAUACUGCCCAAAAUACGUAA